AAAUCCCACGGCUCAACCGUGGGGCUUGCUGGGGAUACUGCGGGCCUUGGGACCGGGAGAGGCCGGGGGUACCCCUGGGGUAGGGGUGAAAUCCUAUAAUCCCAGGGGGACCGCCAGUGGCGAAGGCGCCCGGCUGGAACGGGUCCGACGGUGAGGGACGAAGGCCAGGGAAGCGAACCGGAUUAGAUACCCGGGUAGUCCUGGCUGUAAAGGAUGCGGGCUAGGUGUCGGGCGAGCUUCGAGCUCGCCCGGUGCCGAAGGGAAGCCGUUAAGCCCGCCGCCUGGGGAGUACGGCCGCAAGGCUGAAACUUAAAGGAAUUGGCGGGGGAGCACUACAAGGGGUGGAGCGUGCGGUUUAAUUGGAUUCAACGCCGGGAACCUCACCGGGGGCGACGGCAGGAUGAAGGCCAGGCUGAAGGUCUUGCCGGACACGCCGAGAGGAGGUGCAUGGCCGCCGUCAGCUCGUACCGUGAGGCGUCCACUUAAGUGUGGUAACGAGCGAGACCCGCGCCCCCAGUUGCCAGUCCUCCCCGCUGGGGAGGAGGCACUCUGGGGGGACCGCCGGCGAUAAGCCGGAGGAAGGAGCGGGCGACGGUAGGUCAGUAUGCCCCGAAACCCCCGGGCUACACGCGCGCUACAAUGGGCGGGACAAUGGGAUCCGACCCCGAAAGGGGAAGGAAAUCCCCUAAACCCGCCCCCAGUUCGGAUCGCGGGCUGCAACCCGCCCGCGUGAAGCUGGAAUCCCUAGUACCCGCGUGUCAUCAUCGCGCGGCGAAUACGUCCCUGCUCCUUGCACACACCGCCCGUCACUCCACCCGAGCGGGGUCUGGAUGAGGCCUGAUCUCCCUUCGGGGAGGUCGGGUCGAGUCUGGGCUCCGUGAGGGGGGAGAAGUCGUAACAAGGUAGCCGUAGGGGAACCUACGGCUCGAUCACCUCCU
rnacentral:rRNA from 1 species